GACGAACGCUGGCGGCGUGCUUAACACAUGCAAGUCGAACGGGAUUUAGUAGACAGAAGCCUCGGCUAAAGAUUACUAAUGAGAGUGGCGAACGGGUGAGUAACGCGUGAGCAACCUGCCUAUGACAGUGGGAUAGCCUCGGGAAACCGGGAUUAAUACCGCAUAAAAUCGUAGAAACACAUGUUUUAACGGUCAAAGAUUUAUCGGUCAUAGAUGGGCUCGCGUCUGAUUAGCUAGUUGGUGAGAUAACAGCCCACCAAGGCGACGAUCAGUAGCCGGUCUGAGAGGAUGAACGGCCACAUUGGAACUGAGACACGGUCCAAACUCCUACGGGAGGCAGCAGUGGGGAAUAUUGCACAAUGGGGGAAACCCUGAUGCAGCGACGCCGCGUGAACGAAGAAGGUAUUCGUAUCGUAAAGUUCUGUCCUAUGGGAAGAUAACGACAGUACCAUAGAAGAAAGCUCCGGCUAAAUACGUG
rnacentral:rRNA from 1 species